UACGGAGGGGGCUAGCGUUGUUCGGAAUUACUGGGCGUAAAGCGCACGUAGGCGGCCAGUUGCGUCUGCUGUGAAAUCCCGGGGCUCAACCCCGGGCUUGCAGUGGAUACGGGCUGGCUGGAGGCAGGCAGGGGAGAACGGAAUUCCCGGUGUAGCGGUGAAAUGCGCAGAUAUCGGGAGGAACACCGGUGGCGAAGGCGGUUCUCUGGGCCUGUACUGACGCUGAGGAGCGAAAGCGUGGGGAGCGAACAGG
rnacentral:rRNA from 1 species